GUAUAGGCAUAGCUGAUUGCACCAACAAACAGUUGAUGCAAUAUCGACUAUGUCGAAUAAAAUUCUAGGUAUAGUUAUGAUAAUGACAUUUUAUGCCUAUGUGUCUUGACCAAAUUACGUGCCAGCAGUCGCGGUAAUACGUAGAAGACUAGUGUUAUUCAUCUUUAAUUGGUUUAAAGGGUACCUAGACGGUAAAUCAAGCCUUAACACAAGGGACUAUUUUACUAGAGUUACAUGUGAGGGGGCUAUUAGGUACUGACGGUGGAGAGAUGAAAUUCUGUCAUUCCUUUUAAGGCACAGGUAUAGGCGAAAGCAUCCCAUUAUGUGAUAACUGACGUUGAGGGACGAAGGCUUUUGUAGCGAACAGGAUUAGUUACCCCAGUAGUCCAAGCAGAAAAUGAUGAAUGUCAUAGAUUAGAUAAAAAUAUUUAGUCUAUAAAUGAAAGUGUAAGCAUUCCACCUCAAGAGUAAUUUGGCAACAUUGGAACUGAAAUCAUUAGACCGUUUCUGAAACCAGUAGUGAAGUAUGUUGUUUAAUUUGAUAAUCCGCAAAAAACCUUACCACAAUUUGAAUAUUUAUAUUUUAAUAUAUUUACAAGCGUUGCACGGCUGUCUUCAGUUAAUGUCGUGAGAUUUUGGUUAGUUCCAUUAAAUUAA
rnacentral:rRNA from 1 species